UCCUCCACACCGAGCCGCCGCCUCCCCAAACUUCUGUACGAGAGAGAGGGUUUCCACCGAGAGCGUCUCCUACCGUCGCCGUCGCCAUGGCCUACCUCGACGCCACCUGAGCCCGGGAAUAGAACUGCCGUGGCCUCCUCUUCGUCCUGGACUGCUUCGUGGAACGAGGGACGCCAAGAGAAGCUCGCUUUUCUUCCACGCCGUCGUCGUCUAACCCCGGCCACCCUUCUUCCUCGUCACCGGCACCUCCUCUGCCUCCCCUUUCUCAUCACCAAGCAACCCAGGGUAUGAAGACAUGUUCGAUGAAGACGAUGUUAGCAAGGUUACCCUUCCGGCUUGGCCUGGGCAGGGUUAUGGACGCCACUGGUUAUCUUCAGGACUCUUAGUCCAAUUUGUAUCUUGUCCGUACUCGGACGUAUUUGAGCUUCUGUAUGAUUUGGAUCUUUGUAUUGUA